AGAGUUUGAUCAUGGCUCAGAUUGAACGCUGGCGGCAGGCCUAACACAUGCAAGUCGAGCGGUAGCACAGAGAGCUUGCUCUCGGGUGACGAGCGGCGGACGGGUGAGUAAUGUCUGGGAAACUGCCUGAUGGAGGGGGAUAACUACUGGAAACGGUAGCUAAUACCGCAUAACGUCGCAAGACCAAAGUGGGGGACCUUCGGGCCUCAUGCCAUCAGAUGUGCCCAGAUGGGAUUAGCUAGUAGGUGGGGUAACGGCUCACCUAGGCGACGAUCCCUAGCUGGUCUGAGAGGAUGACCAGCCACACUGGAACUGAGACACGGUCCAGACUCCUACGGGAGGCAGCAGUGGGGAAUAUUGCACAAUGGGCGCAAGCCUGAUGCAGCGACGCCGCGUGCGGGAUGACGGCCUUCGGGUUGUAAACCGCUUUUGACUGGGAGCAAGCCCUUCGGGGUGAGUGUACCUUUCGAAUAAGCACCGGCUAACUACGUGCCAGCAGCCGCGGUAAUACGUAGGGUGCAAGCGUUAUCCGGAAUUAUUGGGCGUAAAGGGCUCGUAGGCGGUUCGUCGCGUCCGGUGUGAAAGUCCAUCGCUUAACGGUGGAUCCGCGCCGGGUACGGGCGGGCUUGAGUGCGGUAGGGGAGACUGGAAUUCCCGGUGUAACGGUGGAAUGUGUAGAUAUCGGGAAGAACACCAAUGGCGAAGGCAGGUCUCUGGGCCGUCACUGACGCUGAGGAGCGAAAGCGUGGGGAGCGAACAGGAUUAGAUACCCUGGUAGUCCACGCCGUAAACG
rnacentral:rRNA from 1 species